UACUAGACCAUCAAAGAUGCAGAUUUGGAUUUUCUAUUUCAUAGUUAUUGAAAUCAUAAUGGAGCUGUUCUCAAAACAUUGGGUGACAAAGAAUUCACUUUUACAAAAAUCGAGCAGGAUAUUAAAGACAGCGAACUAUAGAACAAAUAUGGCGAAGCUGCAUGAAGUCUAUGUUGAAUUUUAUUAUUGAAAAAAAAUAUGCUCUUCAGAUUUAAUGUUAGUUUUUAUUGUUUAACAGUAAUUGCAGUUUUCGAAUACCUGUAAAAUAAACCUAAUUCUUAAAUUAA